rnacentral:rRNA from 1 species
GCUUAUGGACAUAUCACGCUGAAAACAUCAGUUCUUGUCUGAUCACAGAACUGAAGCAACGUCGAACCUUGUUAGUACUAAGAUGAAGGACCGCUUGGGAAAACUAACUGUUGUAAGAU